GUGUUAAGUGUACAUCAUACAUUUAUUACCAACAACCCUCUCAACUCCAAAAUUGGGCACAGGGAUUAAAAAUAAAAAUUCAUUGCACUACUUAGUAAAGCAUUACUAGUAACUUUCAUAAAAAAUGUACAAACUUUGUUAAAAAUUUAUCAAGCCUUCAAAUGAUUUGGUUACAGAUAUUUAUAAUACAUACAUUUAAAACUAUAUAUUAACUGAUACAAUGGAAUAUGAUUUGAGGAACUGACUCAGCAAAUGAUUCCAACAAACACCCCUGUGAGCUUUCAUAAUCUGAAACAAAUAGCAAAAUGAGGUAACCAAAUGUACCAACAGGGGGAAAUAGGUAAUGAAGGCCUAAAGAUAUCUGAAAAAUAUUCUCAUAAGUAAGUUGGCAGAUCACAUUCAAAUUACAAGAGGCCCAAAUUUAAGAAUGUUAACAAAUCACUUUUCUGAGAAUGUAUAAAAUCUAAAUAUGCUUUCACAUUUUUCAGAUUUUGCUAAAAAAAAAUUCAGGACAGAAAAUUCUAAUAUGAGAUCUUGAUAUUUGGAGGCCUUGAGAUGUUUUGUGGGGUGUGUUAAAAAAUACCAAGUAUGACAUUUCAUGUCCAAAACAAAAAAUCCACAUAAAGACCCACAGCGGAGUUAAGAUGGUAAAGCCAAUAUUGUUUUAGGAGGAAAGAAGACCAAGGCAACAAACCUACAUCUGCCUGCAAUCUGUUGCAUCACCUAAGGUGACAACAGCUGGGCAUGAAUCAACUGUUCUUUCUCACUUGCUAGCCACACAGCUGCUCACUGUGGCCAGUCUGAGAUGGUCAGAACACAUGCAUAUGUGCUCGUAACACACACCAACCACUAAGUAAACAAGUCUGGACACAUCUGUUAAACGCCCCCAUGCAAAGAUAAGACAUUCUCAAAGAGAGACCAGUAAUAACAGCGCAAUAAUUAAACUGGACUUUACCAAAACAGACCCUGCCGCCUCCUAAAUUGCUGACUGCCUCUCAAAAAUUUACUUGAAAAGGGACAUUACAACAAGAAUUCAGUCAGAAGGGAAGAAAAAGCUACUUUUCCUAGUCAUUAGUACAAUGUGCCUUGUUAAUUAGGUAUCUCUAUAAAUUAGAAAAAGUGCUUUACUUGCAUGCUUCAAUAAAAUGAAUACUGAGUGUAAUAGUGUUACAUUAGAUCUGUACAGAUAUAAAUUUUUUGCAGCUAUAUAAAAGUCUACAUAUAAGAUAGGC
ensembl:lncRNA